rnacentral:rRNA from 1 species
UACGGAGGGUGCAAGCGUUAUCCGGAAUCACUGGGUUUAAAGGGUGCGUAGGCGGCUGUAUAAGUCAGGGGUGAAAGGCUACAGCUUAACUGUGGAAUUGCCUUUGAUACUGUAUAGCUUGAAUAAGGAUGAGGUUGGCGGAAUGUGGCAUGUAGCGGUGAAAUGCAUAGAUAUGCCAUAGAACACCAAUUGCGAAGGCAGCUAACUGGGCCUUUAUUGACGCUGAGGCACGAAAGCGUGGGGAUCAAACAGG